rnacentral:rRNA from 1 species
AUUGAACGCUGGCGGCAGGCCUAACACAUGCAAGUCGAGCGGAUGAAGGGAGCUUGCUCCUGGAUUCAGCGGCGGACGGGUGAGUAAUGCCUAGGAAUCUGCCUGGUAGUGGGGGAUAACGUCCGGAAACGGGCGCUAAUACCGCAUACGUCCUGAGGGAGAAAGUGGGGGAUCUUCGGACCUCACGCUAUCAGAUGAGCCUAGGUCGGAUUAGCUAGUUGGUGGGGUAAAGGCCUACCAAGGCGACGAUCCGUAACUGGUCUGAGAGGAUGACCAGUCACACUGGAACUGAGACACGGUCCAGACUCCUACGGGAGGCAGCAGUGGGGAAUAUUGGACAAUGGGCGAAAGCCUGUUCCAGCCAUGCCGCGUGUGUGAAGAAGGUCUUCGGAUUGUAAAGCACUUUAAGUUGGGAGGAAGGGCAGUAAGUUAAUACCUUGCUGUUUUGACGUUACCAACAGAAUAAGCACCGGCUAACUUCGUG